rnacentral:rRNA from 1 species
ACGACUCAUCAAUUCUCUAAGGUUCACCCUAACGAACUUUACUAAAAAGUAAAAAGGCUUUUACCAAAAAGAAGGACAACAAGACCCCGACGAACUUAGUUAUAUUUAGCUGGGGCAGCUAGAAAACAAAAACUUCUCACUAAUCUUUACCACGACCCGAUAGCAUCGACCAAAGACUCAAGUUACCGCGGGGAUAACAGCAUAAUCAGACCCUAGAGCCCCUAUCUAACGUCUGCUAUUUGACCUCGAUGUUGAAUUAAUAAAGCUCCAUUCAGCAAAAGGAAUGCAAGCAGGUCUGUUCGACCUUUAAUAAAUUACAUGAUUUGAGUUCAGACCGGUGUAAACCAGGUCAGUUUAUAUCCUCUUACAAUCAGUGUUAGUACGAAAGGACCCCACAAAAGUUCAUA